ACGAACGCUGGCGGCGUGCUUAACACAUGCAAGUCGAACGGAAAGGCCCUGCUUUUGUUGGGUGCUCGAGUGGCGAACGGGUGAGUAACACGUGAGUAACCUGCCCUUGACUUUGGGAUAACUUCAGGAAACCGGGGCUAAUACCGGAUAGGAGCUCCUGCUUCAUGGUGGGGGUUGGAAAGUUUCGGCGGUUGGGGAUGGACUCGCGGCUUAUCAGCUUGUUGGUGGGGUAGUGGCUUACCAAGGCUUUGACGGGUAGCCGGCCUGAGAGGGUGACCGGCCACAUUGGGACUGAGAUACGGCCCAGACUCCUACGGGAGGCAGCAGUGGGGAAUAUUGCACAAUGGGCGGAAGCCUGAUGCAGCAACGCCGCGUGCGGGAUGACGGCCUUCGGGUUGUAAACCGCUUUCGCCUGUGACGAAGCGUGAGUGACGGUAAUGGGUAAAGAAGCACCGGCUAACUACGUG
rnacentral:rRNA from 1 species